AGUGAACGCUGGCGGUAGGCCUAACACAUGCAAGUCGAACGGCAGCACAGUAAGAGCUUGCUCUUACGGGUGGCGAGUGACGGACGGGUGAGGAAUACAUCGGAAUCUACUUUUUCGUGGGGGAUAACGUAGGGAAACUUACGCUAAUACCGCAUACGACCUACGGGUGAAAGCAGGGGAUCUUCGGACCUUGCGCGAUUGAAUGAGCCGAUGUCGGAUUAGCUAGUUGGCGGGGUAAAGGCCCACCAAGGCGACGAUGCGUAGCUGGUCUGAGAGGAUGAUCAGCCACACUGGAACUGAGACACGGUCCAGACUCCUACGGGAGGCAGCAGUGGGGAAUAUUGGACAAUGGGCGCAAGCCUGAUCCAGCCAUACCGCGUGGGUGAAGAAGGCCUUCGGGUUGUAAAGCCCUUUUGUUGGGAAAGAAAAGCAGCAGGUUAAUACCCCGCUGUUCUGACGGUACCCAAAGAAUAAGCACCGGCUAACUUCGUG
rnacentral:rRNA from 1 species